rnacentral:rRNA from 1 species
AGCUCCAAUAGCGUAUAUCUAAGUUGUUGCAGUUAAAAAGCUCGUAGUUGGAUUUUUGAUCGUAAAUGUCCGGUCGGUCUCGAAAGGGAUGUGCACUUGGAUAUUUGGGUCCUAUUUGUGAGGAGCCUUUACUGGCAUUAAGUUGUUGGUUUAGGAGACUUGCAUCGUUUACUGUGAAAAAAUUAGAGUGUUUCAAGCAGGCGUUAGCUUUGAAUACAUUAGCAUGGAAUAAUAAGAUAUGACUAGCGUGGUCUAUUUUGUUGGUUUGCACACGCAAGUAAUGAUUAAUAGGGACAGUUGGGGAUAUUCAUAUUUGAGCGUCAGAGGUGAAAUUCUUGGAUCGCUGAAAGAUGAGCUUAGGCGAAAGCAUUUAUCAUGGAUGUUUUCAUUAAUCAAGAAC